CUACGGGUGGCUGCAGUUAAGAAUAAUCUACAAUGCGCGCAAGCGUGAUAGUUUGAGUCAGAGUGCGUUCCAAUUUGGAAUGCUUUUGUGAAAUUUAAAAAGUUUCACGAAUAAGGACUGGGUAAGACUAGUGCCAGCCGCCGCGGUAAUACUAGCGGUCCAAGUCGCAGCCAUUUUUAUUGGGUCUAAAACAUCCGUAGCUUGCUUAGGAAGUUCCUUGUGAAAUUUUAUAUCUCAAAUAUAAAGCGAGCAGGGAGUACUACUAAGCUAGAGACUGGAAGACGUAACGAGUACGUUUAAAGUAGCGGUGACAUGUGUUAAUCUUAAACGGACUAGCAAUAGCGAAGGCACGUUACGAGGACAGUUCUGACAGUAAGGGAUGAAGGCUAGGGGCGCAAAACGGAUUAGAUACCCCUGUAGUC
rnacentral:rRNA from 1 species